UACGGAGGAUGCAAGCGUUAUCCGGAAUGAUUGGGCGUAAAGCGUCCGCAGGUGGCUGUGUAAGUCUGCUGUCAAAGAGCGAAGCUCAACUUCGUAAAGGCAGUGGAAACUACAUGGCUAGAGUGCGUUCGGGGCAGAGGGAAUUCCUGGUGUAGCGGUGAAAUGCGUAGAGAUCAGGAAGAACACCGGUGGCGAAGGCGCUCUGCUAGGCCGCAACUGACACUGAGGGACGAAAGCUAGGGGAGCGAAUGGG
rnacentral:rRNA from 1 species